rnacentral:rRNA from 1 species
ACUCCUACGGGAGGCAGCAGUGGGGAAUAUUGCACAAUGGGCGCAAGCCUGAUGCAGCCAUGCCGCGUGUAUGAAGAAGGCCUUGGGUUGUAAAGUACUUUCAGCAGUGAGGAAGGUGGAUAUGUUAAUAGCAUAUUCUAUUUGUACGUUAGCUGCAGAAGAAGCACCGGCUAACUCCGUGCCAGCAGCCGCGGUAAUACGGGAGGGUGCGAGCGUUAAUCGGAAUUACGUGGCGUAAAGCGCAUGCAGGUGGUUUGUUAAGUCAGAUGUGAAAGCCCGGGGCUCAACCUCGGAAUUGCAUUUGAAACUGGCAAACUAGAGUACUGUAGAGGGGGUUAGAAUUUCAGGUGUAGCGGUGAAAUGCGUAGAGAUCUGAAGGAAUACCGGUGGCGAACGGCGGCCCCCGUGGACAGAUACUGACACUCAGAUGCG